AUACGUAGGUGCCAAGCGUUAUCCGGAUUUACUGGGCGUAAAGGGCGUGUAGGCGGUCUUGCAAGUCAGAAGUGAAAUUCCUGAGCUCAACUCGGGCGCUGCUUCUGAAACUGCAGGACUUGAGUGCUGGAGGGGAUAGCGGAAUUCCUAGUGGAGCGGUAAAAUGCGCAGAUAUUAGGAAGAACACCGGUGGCGAAGGCGGCUAUCUGGACAGUAACUGACGCUGAGGCGCGAAAGCGUGGGGAGCAAACAGGAUUAGAUUCCCUGGUAGUCCACACUGUAAACGAUGAAGGCUAGGUGUAGGAGGUAUCGACCCCUUCUGUGCCGCAGUAAACACAGUAAGCAUUCCGCCUGGGGAGUACGGUCGCAAGAAUGAAACUUAAAGGAAUUGACGGGG
rnacentral:rRNA from 1 species